GGGGAUGUACUGGUUAAAUACAUUAAAACCCGUCAUGGGGUGUCGGGGGUCGUAGGUUCAAAUCCUAUCAUGCCGACCA
rnacentral:tRNA from 1 species